rnacentral:rRNA from 1 species
AAGGGCACCACAAGAACGCGUGGAGCAUGUGGCUUAAUUUGACUCAACGCGGGAAAUCUUACCGGGUCCGGACACACUGAGGAUUGACAGAUAUAUUAUUAUAUGUAUUUUAAAUACAUAUAUUAGAAAGAUGCUAGUUCUUUCAUGAUUAUGUGAUAGGNGGUGCAUGGNNGUUCUUANUUCGUGGAGUGAUCCGUCGCUUAAUUGCGUUUCACUAAAGCUUAUUAUAUACAGUGUGUUGACACUUUGCAUUGACCCCUGCUCACUGAGUGGACGCGUGUCUUUGUUAUACUGUCUCAUACUAAUUUAGGCCUUGAAAGCAACGAACGUGACCGCAACCUCUUGUUGCCUUAUUACCAUAUAUAAUAAUUGUGUCUCUGUACACAUUUAUUGUAAUAAAGGCUAUUUUAUUUAUAUUAAACUAGAGGGACCGCUGUGAUCUUUUUUAAACCAGAGGAAGGUUGCGGCAAUAACAGGUCUGUGAUGCCCUUAGAUGUUCCGGGCUGCACACGUGCUACAAUGAUUAUUGCAGUGAGCAUCUCAUUUAUAACAGCUGUCUUGUGCGUGUAUUAAUUAUUUUUAUAAUAAUUAAAUUACAUUGUACACAACUAAGCCUACUUCGAGAGGUCAGUAGGUAACCAAUUAGAAGUAAUGAUUUCUAAUUUAUUAUGCACAACAAUAUGUGGCAUUUAUAUCCGGGUUGUAGCUUUGCCUAUAACUUUUGUGUGUAUAAAUGUAUUUUAUAUCCACAUGUGCAAUUAUUAAUUCAAGGUGGGGACAGACUAUUGUUAAUUGUUAGUCUCGGUCUUAACUAGGAAUGCCUUGUACGGGUUGGUUCAACAAACCACCCGGAAUACGUCCCUGCCCUUUGUACACACCGCCCGUCGCUCUUACCGAUGAACUUCUCUGUGAGUCUAAUGGACUAAUUAUAUAUAUUUUAUUAUAUAUAAUGGAAAAUUAUACGAACAGGGUGGUUUAAAGGAAAGAGAAGUCGAACAAGGC